UCCACCAGCCGCGGUAAUUCCANCUCCAANAGCGUAUANUAAAGNNGUUGCAGNNAAAAANNUCGUAGUNGGAUCNNGGGCUCGGGUAGNCGGUUUGCCGCCAUGUGGGCGGCUACUGCUCUGCUCGACUCUUACUACCCGGUGCGUCUGNUGCUUGUGCUCUUCACUGAGUGCCUGCAGAGCCUGGCAUGUUUACUUUGAAAAAAUUAGAGUGCUCAAAGCAGGCGCUUGCGUCUGAAUAGUGUUGCAUGGAAUAAUGGAAUAGGACCUCGGUUCUAUUUUGUUGGUUUUCGGAACUUGAGGUAAUGAUUAAGAGGGACGGUCGGGGGCAUUCGUAUUUCGGUGUAGAGGGGAAAUUCUUGGAUCGUUGAAAGACGGACAAAUGCGAAAGCAUCUUCCAANAACGUCUCCAUUAAUCAAGAACGAAAGUCAGAGGUUCGAAGACGAUCAGACACCGUCCUAGUUCUGACCAUAAACGAUGCCAACUAGCGAUUUGCAGUGGUUGCUACUAACGGACUCUGUGAGCAGCUUCCGGGAAACCAAAGUGUUUGGGUUCCGGGGGAAGUAUGGUUGCAAAGCUGAAACUUAAAGGAAUUGACGGAAGGGCACCACCAGGAGUGGAGCCUGCGGCUUAAUUUGACUCAACACGGGGAAACUCACCCGGUCCGGACACCGUAAGGAUUGACAGAUUGAGAGCUCUUUCUUGAUUCGGUGGAUGGUGGUGCAUGGCCGUUCUUAGUUGGUGGAGUGAUUUGUCUGGUUAAUUCCGAUAACGAACGAGACUCUAGCCUGCUAACUAGUUGCGCCGUGUUCAUUCGCGGUUGUAGACUACUUCUUAGAGGGACAGAUGGCGUAUAGCCAUACGAAAUUGAGCAAUAACAGGUCUGUGAUGCCCUUAGAUGUCCGGGGCCGCACGCGCGCUACACUGAAGGAGUCAGCGUGUGCUAUCCGCGCUCGAAAGAGCUCGGUAACCCGUUGAAACUCCAUCGUGCUUGGGAUUGUGGCUUGCAAUUAUCGCGCAUGAACGAGGAAUUCCCAGUAAGUGCAAGUCAUCAGCUUGCGCUGACUACGUCCCUGCCCUUUGUACACACCGCCCGUCGCUACUACCGAUUGGAUGGUUUAGCAAGGUAUUCAGAUUGCUGUCGAUUUUGUACGCAAGUGUGAAAUUGAUGGUCGAGAAGAAGGCCAAACUUGAUCAUUUAGAGGAAGUAAAAGUCGUAACAAGGG
rnacentral:rRNA from 1 species